AUGUGCAUCCUUCGGGUCUGUUCGGAACCUCUCAACUCGUCGAUGUUGGAGCUGCUAGACAAGUCAUCGUUGAGCCUGCUGGCGGCCGUCCCUCCACUUGCCUACGUCGGAUGUGGCGGCAUUACGGGUAGAUCUUCGUUGUAUGUAUGGAUCCUCGUGAAGCUGGUGCUAACACCAUGUCGAUUUCUCGCUUCGGAUUGUAGCUCUUUUUGGAAAGGAAGUUUGCAGCGUUCUGUAGCAUGA
rnacentral:rRNA from 1 species